rnacentral:rRNA from 1 species
UACGUAGGGUGCAAGCGUUGUCCGGAAUUAUUGGGCGUAAAGAGCUCGUAGGCGGUUUGUCGCGUCUGCUGUGAAAAUCCAGGGCUUAACCCUGGACCUGCAGUGGGUACGGGCAGACUGGAGUGCGGGUAGGGGAGAUCGGAAUUCCUGGUGUAGCGGUGAAAUGCGCAGAUAUCAGGAGGAACACCGGUGGCGAAGGCGGAUCUCUGGGCCGUAACUGACGCUGAGGAGCGAAAGCGUGGGGAGCGAACAGG